UACAGGCAUGGGCCAUCAUGCACAGCCCCCUCUGUAUUUUUAAGUACAGUUAACACAUCUAUUCUAAAAUAUUUCUAUUGUAAACUUGAGCUCAUGUGGGUCCUCCAAGUGGAGCUAUUCUCAACUGUAUUCUUUUGUGCUCUUUCUUCAACUCCUCAUUCCUUAAGUCCUUAUAUAGUAGGACUGUUGUCUUUGUACUGUAUCCCCUCUCAGAAUGGCUUCCCUUGAUCCAGAUCUUCCUUAAGUGAGAAUGAUGAAUUUACAGACUAGAGUCUCUGAUGCUGGUCCUGAUGUCAAAAAUAAGUUCUGACUCAUUUAGGGAACUGGAUACUUGGGUCUCUGGAGAAGGCUGCUUUUUUUUUUUUUUUUUUU
rnacentral:lncRNA from 1 species